UCUCUGGUGGCUCAGACAGUAAAGCAUCUGCCUACAAUGCAGGAGACCCAGGUUCAAUCCCUGAGUAGGGAA
rnacentral:tRNA from 1 species